GACGAACGCUGGCGGCGUGCUUAACACAUGCAAGUCGAACGGAAAGGCCCGGCGCUUGUGGGGUGCUCGAGUGGCGAACGGGUGAGUGACACGUGAGUAACCUGCCCUUGACUUUCGGAUAACAUCACGAAAAUGCGGCUAAUACCGGAUAGGAUCUUCUGCUCCAUGGUGGUGGUUGGAAAGUUUCGGCGGUUGUGGAUGGUCUCGCUGCUUAUCAGCUUGUUUGUGGGGUAGUGGCUUACGAAGCCUGUGACGGGUAGCCGGCCUGAGAGGGUGAACGGCGACAUUGGGACUGAGAUAGGGAGCAGAAGCGUACGGGAGGCAGCAGUGGGGAAUAUUGCGCAGCAGGGGGGAGCCUGAUGCAGCGACGCCGGGUGCGGGAUGACGGCCUUUGGGUGGUGAACCGCUUUCGCAGGAGACGAAGCGUGAGUGACGGUAAUGGGUAAAGAAGCACCGGCUAACUACGUG
rnacentral:rRNA from 1 species